GACGAACGCUGGCGGCGUGCUUAACACAUGCAAGUCGAACGGAAAGGCCCUGCUUUUUUGGGGUGCUCGAGUGGCGAACGGGUGAGUAACACGUGAGUAACCUGCCCUUGACUUUGGGAUAACUUCAGGAAACUGGGGCUAAUACCGGAUAGGAGCUCCUGCUGCAUGGUGGGGGUUGGAAAGUUUCGGCGGUUGGGGAUGGACUCGCGGCUUAUCAGCUUGUUGGUGGGGUAGUGGCUUACCAAGGCUUUGACGGGUAGCCGGCCUGAGAGGGUGACCGGCCACAUUGGGACUGAGAUACGGCCCAGACUCCUACGGGAGGCAGAAGUGGGGAAUAUUGCACAAUGGGCGGAAGCCUGAUGCAGAAACGCCGCGUGCGGGAUGACGGCCUUCGGGUUGUAAACAGCUUUCGCCUGUGACGAAGCGUGAGUGACGGUAAUGGGUAAAGAAGCACCGGCUAACUACGUG
rnacentral:rRNA from 1 species